UACUUUUAUGCAUGAAAGGAGAAAAGGUGUGAUUGUUUGCAAUGAUCAAGAUGGGGAUGAUUUUGUCAUUACAGCUCAUGUCCCUCUUAACAAUAUGUUUGGUUAUUCUACAGUUCUUUGUUCCUUGACACAGGGAAAAGGUGAGUUCACCUGUGGUUCCUCAUUAGGAGAAAACAUUAGAGUAACACUGAUGCAAUUUU